UACAGAGGGUGCGAGCGUUAAUCGGAAUUACUGGGCGUAAAGCGUGCGUAGACGGUUAUCUAAGUCGGAUGUGAAAGCCCCGGGCUCAACCUGGGAAUUGCAUUCGAGACUGAAUAGCUAGGGUACGGUAGAGGGAAGCGGAAUUUCCGGUGUAGCGGUGAAAUGCGUAGAUAUCGGAAGGAACAUCAGUGGCGAAAGCGGCUUCCUGGACCAGUACCGACGUUCAGGAGCGAAAGCCAGGGGAGCAAACGGG
rnacentral:rRNA from 1 species